CACGCUCGACAGCCUACCGUUAAACAGAGAGUCAUUGAUAUCGCUGACUACAAGGAAGUUUUCAGUGGAGUGAGUAACGUGGAAGAGGUGGCUUUCAACGCACUCUCCUUUAUCUGGAACACCAAUGAAGAAGCAAAGGUGCAUAUUGGCAUCAAUUCUCUGAGCACUGACUUCUCCUCGCAGAAGGGGGUCAAAGGUUUUCCUCUGAAUCUUCAGAUCGACACGUAUGAUUUCAGCUCAGGGAACAACCGCCUCAUUCACAGAGCUGUUUGUCAGAUUAAGAUCUUCUGCGAUAAGGUGAGCCAG